UACGUAGGGACCAAGCGUUGUUCGGAUUUACUGGGCGUAAAGAGCUCGUAGGCGGCCUGUUGCGUCCGCUGUGAAAGCCCGGGGCUUAACCCCGGGUCUGCAGUGGAUACGGGCAGGCUAGAGGUAGGUAGGGGAGAAUGGAAUUCCCGGUGUAGCGGUGAAAUGCGCAGAUAUCGGGAGGAACACCGGUGGCGAAGGCGGUUCUCUGGGCCUUACCUGACGCUGAGGUGCGAAAGCGUGGGGAGCAAACAGG
rnacentral:rRNA from 1 species